GUGCUUGGUCUGCAUUGAAAUGUGGUGUAAUUAAAAAUGGAAUUAUUUCAAACAAUACCGUUGUAAAUUAAUCUUGUGCAGAGAAGUCACAGUAUUUAAAUAAUGCUUGCUAUAAAUCUGCAUUAAGGGGCACAACUAGUGUGACACUUUUGAAAAAUCGAUUUUUUUUUGCAUUUUUCGAUAGUCUAUAGCUUCAAGAAUAACAUACUAAAAUUUUAAGAGUGGAUCUCAAAUAGUUUUUGAACGGCAGCCUUUUAAAGAGUAGCUGCUCGUCGGUCAGAAACGUGCAUAAGCUUCGAAAGAGGGUCGAUUAGCUCGAAGGAAAGCUUCAGCAACCCAGCAGGUACUUUUCGAGGAAGAGGAAGGUGAAUUAUAUGGGCCUGGAAUAGCAGAUUAGCUGCACUCUGAAGGCCGCAAUCACUGCAGCAGUGGGAGAACUUUUUUUUUUGGAGACUCGGGAGAUGACACAUAAGUCGCUGAAAAUUGAUUAUUUUCAUACAAAAAAAUUACUGCACAUAGAUCAUUUAUACACAAAUAUAUUCUCAAAAUUUC